rnacentral:rRNA from 1 species
UGGGGAAUAUUGCACAAUGGGCGCAAGCCUGAUGCAGCCAUGCCGCGUGUAUGAAGAAGGCCUUCGGGUUGUAAAGUACUUUCAGUCGUGAGGAAGGUAGUGUAGUUAAUAGCUGCAUUAUUUGACGUUAGCGACAGAAGAAGCACCGGCUAACUCCGUGCCAGCAGCCGCGGUAAUACGGAGGGUGCGAGCGUUAAUCGGAAUUACUGGGCGUAAAGCGCAUGCAGGUGGUUUGUUAAGUCAGAUGUGAAAGCCCGGGGCUCAACCUCGGAAUUGCAUUUGAAACUGACAGACUAGAGUACUGUAGAGGGGGGUAGAAUUUCAGGUGUAGCGGUGAAAUGCGUAGAGAUCUGAAGGAAUACCGGUGGCGAAGGCGGCCCCCUGGACAGAUACUGACACUCAGAUGCGAAAGCGUGGGGAGCAAACAGGAUUAGAUACCCUGGUAGUCCACGCCGUAAACGAUGUCUACUUGGAGGUUGUGGCCUUGAGCCGUGGCUUUCGGAGCUAACGCGUUAAGUAGACCGCCUGGGGAGUACGGUCGCAAGAUUAAAACUCAAAUGAAUUGACGGGGGCCCGCACAAGCGGUGGAGCAUGUGGUUUAAUUCGAUGCAACGCGAAGAACCUUACCUACUCUUGACAUCCAGAGAACUUUCCAGAGAUGGAUUGGUGCCUUCGGGAACUCUGAGACAGGUGCUGCAUGGCU